rnacentral:misc_RNA from 1 species
AACGCACCUUGCACCCUUUGGUAUUCCGAAGGGUACGCCCGUUUGAGUGUCAUUGUAAUCUCACACCCCAAGACUUUUGUCAAAAGGGAUUGUGGACUUGGAUGUUGUUGUGUAACUACGACUCAUCUCAAAUGCAUGAGUGUACCCUGUGUCUGCAGCGUAUUCGGUGUGAUAAGCAUCUUCACCGGAGUCAAGCCCUUUGGGGCGCGCUUGCUAAUGUAGGCUCUAUGCUGCAAACCGUCUUUGGACAAAUCAACUGACAAUUUGACCUCAAAUCGGGCGGGACUACCCGCUGAACUUAA